rnacentral:RNase_P_RNA from 2 species
GGAGUUAGCCAGGCAAUCGCUAUUAGAUCUUGAAGAAAAUAAUCAUAUUUUUCUUCGAAAGAAUUCUGGUAGAGGAAAGUCCGGGCUCCACAGGGUAAAGGUGCCAGGUAACGCCUGGGAGGCGCGAGCCUACGGAAAGUGCAGCAGAAAAUAUACCGCCCGGCGAUUAAUAUCGUCGGGUAAGGGUGAAAUGGUGCGGUAAGAGCGCACCGCGUGUACGGUAACGGACACGGCAGUGCAAACCCCACCCGGAGCAAGACCAAAUAGGAAUCCAUUGGCGUGGCCCGCGCUGGGUUCGGGUAGGUCGCUUGAGGUUCAUGGUGACGUGGAUCCUAGAUGAAUGAUUGUCCUAGACAGAACCCGGCUUAUGGCUGACUCAAUUU